rnacentral:lncRNA from 1 species
UUUCGAUAAAGGGAAUGUAUUAAUAUCGCAAGGAUAUCAAUUACAUCUAGGCUUGACAACCACACAAUAUCCUAAUAGCAUUACGGAUGCAUACAGUAAAAAAAAAAGAAGAAGCUGAAAACGAAUAUCGCUGCUACAGAGUUUGAGUCCUUACAGUAGCAGUACAAUCGUCACCAAAACAAUACGUGAGGUUUAAGUUGUCCAAAAAUAACACCUAAAAAAAAGUACACAAACGCUCGUCGUCACCCAAUCAUAGAUUUUGAUUUUCAUCAUGUGGCAUAUGGCAUAUGGCAUAUGGCAUCAAGAUGCUAAUUUUACUCACAGACAUGUCAUCCAUCCUCAUGCAGAAUUGAUCAAAUGUGAGGUGACAUCAGAGGCGUCUUCCAGCACUAAACAAAAUUCAGCAUCCGCUCAGCAACUGCCACCAAAGGUCAACAUUGCUGUCAAUGAAUAGAUUAGAAAUCCUUGCAUAGAGGAAGGAUUUAAAAUUGCCUGCCAAUGAAAAGAACUUCUCUUUCGUUCAUUAUUGCUAUAUUGUAUAUGGGGAGGCUUCCACGGGCAAAACAACCCUACCGGAGUGUUUUUCUUAAACAAAACAACCCUAUUUUGGGCUGCAUGAUUACGAGGCGUGGAGAGAUAUUGUAUUUUCUGUCUUUACACGUAGUAGUACGCUACUGGGUCCAGUCUACCUUCUACUGGCCGGAAUCUUGCACCAGUGGCCCGGUCGCUACGUUGGCGUUCUCAAGAAAAUACUCCGUUAAGAACAACUCCCGCUUCAAUCCAUUUCAUCUACGCACGUCUGUUUGGAUUGUGGGAGAUCGAAAAAUCGUUCUAAUGCAUCGAUUCAAAUAAACGCGCGUUCGUUCUCCGUUCGCCUGUUAAUUCAUUUUCAAUCAUUUUUAGCCCGAUUUGUGUCGGCGUGGACAUAAGAUAGACGCACACGCUGAGCGCCAACUCCUCCUCCUGGUCCGCUAGUCGGUGGCAAAGCCUCCAUCAUUUUCCUUCAUUUUUUUGAAACCCUCCCACCCCCGCGCCCUCCUUGCCGCUUGCCAGGGACGACGCCCUUGAUGCCACCGCCGGCCUCGCUUCCCUCGCCUCGUGCGUCAUCACGACCGCCCCCUUCCACAAAGGUAAGCCUCAUGCCCCCCACAAGACCGUCACCGUGCCCUAGAAGAAGAAGGAGCUGACGCCCGAGGAGCAGGCUAGGGAGUCGACGAAGAGAAAGGGUUGUACCAAAUUGAAGAAGUUUCCAUCGUGAAUUUCACGAAUGCAAGAAGUUUUCACCGUAUCAAAUGCAAAGCACGCAUGGGUGGGUUUUCAUUUCAAAGCGAUGGACGGUGAUCCAGCAAGAACGCAAUAAGUUUUGUGCCUCUUAUGAGAGCAUCAAGGCACGCCCGUGAGUGGCAUCGACAUGAAAGACAUGGUAUGCAUGCAUACACCCCUCUUUGUUUGCAUGUUCAUUUGCUAAUAUGCUUACAUGUAAUUCAUUUAUAGGCAUUUCAAGCUUUUGAGGCAUUCAAGGUGCAACAUGAAGGCAAGUUCUUCAAACUUUCUCAUUGUUGGAGGAUCAUCAAAGAUGAGGAAAAGUUCAAGCUCCAAUAUGCCUCCCUCACAGUGCAUGAGGGGAAGGAAGCCGUGGAGGACGUUGGGGAGGGUGAGAAAUCACGACCAGUGUGAAAGACCAACUCGAAGAAGGAGGACAAGCGGGAUGCGUGUCGAUCGCCUUGAUCGCAACCGUGAAGGGCAUGAUGACCAAGAAGGAUUCAAGGGAGGAGAAGCGCCGGCAAGACAGUCAAGAGCAAAUGAACGGCAUCAUGGAGAUCCAAAGGAGGAGGCUUGAGAUGGAGGCGGAUAAGCAAGUCAGGAUGCUUGAGAUGGAGCCGGAGAAGCAAGCCAAGAUGCUAGAGAUCAAGGCCGUCAAUGUCAAGACCAAGGCGAAAGAAGUGGCUCUCGCUAGCAUGAUGACACGGGUGGAGAUCAUGAAGGUGGAUCUCAACACCGCGCCGCCAAGGAAGAGCCGUGGUUCGAGAAGAUGCAGGACGACAUGUUCAAGUUCGACGACGAGUGAUCUAUGAUGGCGAGCGACAUCAUUUUUUGUAUGCCAACAAGUGUGCUCGCAUGACCACGGUCGUAAUGGCAUGGUUGAACUCCUGCCAUUUUUUGUGUGUUGGCAUAUGUGCCGGCCGCUGGCAAGUGCGUCGGCAUGAACUAUGUGGUGUUUUCUAAAUUUGGCAUUGUAUGCCGGCCGCUGGCAUAGUGACAACACGAACUUUAGGCGACGCCAUGGUGGAUAACUGGAUCUACGCCUUUUUAAAUGUGUGUUCGGACAUAAAAUGGAUCGUGGAUGUUGGACGCACUGUUGGUACAAAUAUUAAAAAGGGCGGACGCUGAACGAACGACCGAUCCGGACGGACAAAAGUGAACAAGAACACCGUCCAUUUAGAUCGGCGCAUUGAAGUUGCUCAAACUUAUGAAUUUAUCACGCUGAUCAGGUUUUAGGGUAGGAUUUAUCUCUUAUAAUUCUAAGCCUCUUCCACACUGAUAAGUUUUGAAUUUUGUGUCCCAAGAAACUAAACUAGGUUUGCUGCCUGAACCAUGCUGUCCUUUUGUCAUAGAAGAGCAACGCUAUCUAAUAAUCUGAAAUGCAAAGUCAAGCAUCACGGUCACAGCGCCGAGUAUAGAUUGAAAUGGAGAGGCGACGUACGUAACAACCAUAGACCAUCAGGAUUAGUGGUUAAGAUCCAGUUUUUCUAGUACGAUGUAGAGUAGAAGAGAACAAAGAUUAAAAGGCAUGAUUAGAGAGGAGGAAACGUUCGAAAGCUAAUGUGGAUUUACGGCGCACCGUAGGUAAAGCACACGGAGUUUAACGCUCUUGACCAAUGACAUCAGGAAUCAAAUUAAGAUGCCAAAGUUUAUUCAGAGACAAAAUGAAAGCUCGAUCUGAAAGAUCCGUGGAUCCUCUAGGUUAGAUGGAUCCGGUAGGUAGUCGCGUUUUACCUUGCCCCCAACUCGAUGAGCUCCCGCCGUCGUUCAUCGUAAGGUGGUGACGACGGUGGGGAAGGAUAGAUGGGUGUGGCGUGGGUGGUGCUUCCCGUGAGCACCGCGCUAACCCUAGAUCGUAUGGGUUUGUAGGUGGAGAGUGUGGCGACG